rnacentral:misc_RNA from 1 species
UAACCACAUGCACCACCCAUGGUUCCAGAAGCAUCAGCGCCUCCAUAAAAGGUGGCGUGGGCACUUGUCCAGGGUCCGCCGGUGUAAACUCCGGCAAUUUUUGCGUUGACAACAGUUAGAAAACAGAGAAGAGUAGCAAUGCAGAGUGCCCAAUUCACAGCCAUUUUUGUCACAGUGUAGUGUUUGUUCACUGUAAAAAGAAAACAGAGAGAG